CGGACGAGGGGGAGGGGGUGUUUUGGUUCUAGCCGCUCGCCGUCCUUUCCAGAGUCGGUGGUCCGAAAGCUGCCUGUUCUUGCUUUCUUUUCCCUUUCCCUUUCCCUUUCCUUUUCCUUUUCCCAGUCUCUGUCCUCCCUCCCUCCUUCCUCUCUGUCUGCCUCCUUUUUUUUUACUGACGCCCCGGGGCCGGGCCAUUUUCCGGGCCGGGCACACUAAGGUGCACGGCUCCGGGGCCCAGUAUAUGACCCGCAGUCUUGCUACCCCUCGCUUCCCCCGCCCCAUGUGGCUGCGGGGCCCUGGCGGCGCUGCCCACUAUGGCCCGGAAAGCAGUUAGCAGGAAGCGGAAAGCGCCAGCCUCGCCGGGAGCUGGGAGUGACGCUCAGGGCCCGCAGUUUGGCUGGGAUCACUCCCUUCACAAAAGGAAAAGACUCCCCCCAGUGAAGAGAUCCUUAGUGUACUACCUGAAGAACCGAGAAGUCAGGCUACAGAAUGAAACCAGCUACUCUCGUGUUUUGCAUGGUUAUGCAGCACAGCAACUUCCCAGUCUCCUGAAGGAGAGAGAGUUCCACCUUGGGACCCUUAAUAAAGUGUUUGCAUCUCAGUGGCUGAAUCAUAGGCAGGUGGUGUGUGGCACAAAAUGCAACACGCUCUUUGUAGUAGAUGUCCAGACAAGCCAGAUUACCAAGAUUCCCAUUCUGAAGGACCGGGAGCCUGGAGGUAUAACCCAGCAGGGCUGUGGUAUCCAUGCCAUUGAGCUGAAUCCCUCUAGAACACUGUUAGCCACUGGAGGAGACAACCCCAACAGUCUUGCCAUCUACCGGCUGCCUACACUAGAUCCUGUGUGUGUAGGAGAUGAUGGGCACAAGGACUGGAUCUUCUCUAUCGCAUGGAUCAAUGACACCAUGGCUGUGUCUGGCUCACGUGAUGGUUCUAUGGGACUUUGGGAGGUCACAGAUGAUGUGUUGACCAGAAGUGAUGCAAGGCACAGUGUGUCACAAGUCCCUGUGUAUGCUCACAUCACUCACAAGGCCUUAAAGGAUAUCCCCAAGGAAGACACAAACCCUGACAACUGCAAGGUCCGUGCUCUGGCCUUCAACAACAAGAACAAGGAAUUGGGAGCAGUAUCUCUGGAUGGCUACUUUCAUCUCUGGAAGGCUGAAAAUACACUAUCUAAGCUCCUCUCCACCAAACUCCCCUAUUGCCGUGAGAAUGUGUGUCUGGCUUAUGGUAGUGAAUGGUCAGUAUAUGCAGUGGGCUCCCAAGCUCAUGUCUCCUUCUUGGAUCCACGGCAGCCAUCGUACAACAUCAAGUCUGUUUGCUCUAGAGAGCGAGGCAGUGGGAUCCGAUCAGUGAGCUUCUAUGAGCACAUCAUCACUGUGGGCACAGGGCAGGGCUCCCUGCUGUUCUAUGACAUCCGAGCUCAGAGAUUCCUAGAAGAGAGGCUCUCGGCUUGUUAUGGGUCCAAGCCCAGACUAGCAGGAGAGAAUCUGAAACUAACCACUGGCAAAGGCUGGCUGAAUCAUGAUGAAACCUGGAGGAAUUACUUUUCGGACAUUGAUUUCUUCCCCAAUGCUGUUUACACCCACUGCUAUGACUCAUCCGGAACAAAACUCUUUGUGGCAGGGGGUCCCCUCCCUUCAGGGCUCCAUGGAAACUAUGCUGGGCUCUGGAGUUAAUGACAACUAACUCUCUCCCAAAAUGCAGAGAUUUACACUAACUUCCAUCUUCUGUUUCCUUGUUUCUUCUUUUGAUUUUUUCCAAUUGUGUGAGGCCCUCAUAUUUUAGUGGGAACACCAGAGUUUGCCUAUGGUUUAGGCACUUGACAGAAAGAAGCUCUAUAUAGAAACCUGAAGGUUUUGUUUGUUUGUUUUUUCCCUUUUGGUAAUCAGAAUUUUACUUUACUAUGUUUUUUUCUUUCUGGCUUCUCAACCAAAUGUUUUUAAUCCCUAUUUGUAUUUUUUUUUUUUUUCAAGUGGCACAUACUUUUCCCUUUCUGAUUUCUUUAGGCUGACGUAGUCAUUCUCACCCUUACUUCACUCUUGAGAGAGCUUAUUCUGGGGAAAGGAAAAGUCUUAUUUAUGACUGCACUCCAGGAUCUAAGUUGCUCUCCUAGUCAUCCCUAUCUGUUCCAGGUAUAAGUGGGGAGAUUGAAAAGAGUGUCUUCUUGAUGAUGGGGGCUGGUGGGAGGGAAGUCAGCAAGUCAUCAUAUAUCUUGGCGGUACAGUACAUACACCACAGGUUCUAGAAUUCUCAUCUUCAAAUCUAGAGAAAUAGGUGCUAUAAAUGGAAUUAAGCAAAAUGCUGGAUGCUGUAGCUCUUUUAAUUGUCUUAAUUUUUUUCUAUUAAACUACAGGCUGUAGAUUUCUUAGUUCUCACAGAACUUCUAUCAUUUUAAACCAACUUGUAUAUUAAAAAAAAAAAGAUAAGUUCUUAAGUAGGAUGUUUUGUACUGUUGUCAGACCCUCUUCUGUGAUGGGUAAUGCGUUUGAUUCAGUUUUUGUUUUCAAAAAUGUAGCACUUGACUUUUUGCCAAGUAAAAAAAAUAAAUAUUAUUUCAGUGCAAAGUGGUUUGAGUGAGUA